UUUCCCAGCGGGGAAAAUGGAAUUUUGCGCUAAUUAAAGUAUUGCGCUUUUGUACAAAAUUCCAUUGUUUUCUGUUGCCCGCGAAAAUGCAAUUUUACGACGGACAUUUCAGACAAAUUUCCAUCAGACGGCUUUCCAUCCGUAAAAAAGAAUGCUAUCUACAAAAGUGUCAAUGGAAAUUGAUCAAAGUAUCGUCAAGCAAACCCGUUUAAACAGCGAGGAUUUUCCGGAUUCACAGACACGAAGCUCGAAUUAUUCCUGAUCGACCACCACUUUUCGUUUUUCGGCUGAAACAUCACAUGCUGGCCAUUCGUCAGCGGCUGAACGAAGAACGAUCUCUGCCCGAUCAUCAUCAAGGCGUACACUUCUUCUUCGCAUAUCGUCACGACGACGAAGGAACUCGCGUCUCCUUCCAAGCUGCCUUGUCGAAGAUCGCAGUUCGCCUUGGCGUUACGUCGCUCGGACUUGGUUUUACCCUGGCGCACCCAAUUCACGGUGAAAUUCGACGACAGUAUCAAUCGAUCGUUGGCCAUGGUCCUUAAGGUCCAGUUGCUGAUCUCGAGGAACACCGGUUCUUGGUGGAGAUACUCGCGCCAAGUUUCUCGGUCUUCGUGGGUCGAUCUUCUGUUCCGCGCGCUCUCAUUCGGGAUCACUCGAGGGUAAACGAUCUCGUACUCCUGCAAGCUUUGCAGAAAGUCGCUCAUUCGCGACUUAGUAGCGAUCGUGCCGAGCAGCCACGUGG